rnacentral:rRNA from 1 species
UACGUAGGUGGCAAGCGUUGUCCGGAUUUCUUGGGUUUAAAGGGUGCGUAGGCGGUUAUAUAAGUCAGUGCUGAAAUAUCCCGGCUUAACCGGGAGGGUGGCAUUGAUACUGUAUGACUUGAGUAAAGUUGAGGUUGGCGGAAUUGACGGUGUAGCGGUGAAAUGCUUAGAUAUCGUCAAGAACACCGAUAGUGAAGACAGCUAACUAAGCUUUAACUGACGCUGAGGCACGAAAGUGUGGGGAUCAAACAGG